CCGUGGAUUCAUUCUUUGAUUCCGGCGGACAAAGAAUCCGGGUUUCAGUUCAAAAAUUCCGUAUCACUAUGAUAGCCAUAUGUGUGAUGGAACUGCAGGCCUGCGU